GCCUGGUUGGUUUGACUGUGGGACCGAGUUUGGUUGUCUUCUUCCUCUUACUGAUCCUGCUGUGGUGCUACAAAACCAACAAAGAAUCUCUGUGUCGCUGUACUGGGAGUCAGUCAGACAUCAAUCAGACAUCAGAUCAGACCCAGAGAGAGUCAGGAGAAGCUGCCCACAUAUAUGACACAGCUAAGCC